GAAUAAUUGGGUGCACUUUUCCCACCUUGGAUCAAAUCUAUGCUUCCAGGUGCUAUAAGAAAGCUGUAGAGAUAGCGCAGGAUAGUGCACACCCCAGAAAUGAUCUCUUUCAGCUUCUGCCUUCUGGAAGAAGGUACAGGGUUAUAAAGACUAGGACUAGCCACCUGAGAAACAGUUUCUAUUCAAAUGUGAUUUUGGUUUUAAACGCAGUGUAAGGUAGUCUCUAUGGGAGUAUAUUGUAUUUAAUUAUGGGGUAUCAGAGUUUUUAGGGGGCUAACCAGGCUGGGAUAGC